GGAGAGUUGGCAGAGUGGUCGAAUGCGGCGGUCUUGAAAACCGUUGUCCUUAACCGGACCGGGGGUUCGAAUCCCUCACUCUCCG
rnacentral:tRNA from 2 species